rnacentral:lncRNA from 1 species
GUCAAGAUGAACCGCAGUGAUGCCUUGCAGCCUUAAGAUGCCCGCUUUUCAAGCCGUAUUUGGAAUGUGGCACAUUAUAAUUGACAGACUUGACAAGCAUUCUGGUUUCAUGGGCUGCGUGUCAGGAUUCCUGCCCUAUAUUUCCAUAUCACCGAGCACUUCCACUGUGUCCUUGAACUAAUUUAAAAUCUCUCUGGGUUUCAGGUUCCCCGUCUUCAUUGAAGGCCCCACAUCAUUUGCUAUGUACUUGAAGGAUGGUCCGAAGCACGCAGCGUGCUGUCUUCCAGCCUUGAGAGAUUGCCUCUCUCUUCACCCACAGUGCCCUCCCAGUUGGCCAAGUCAAAUCCGUUCUUCAAACCAACUCUUUGUCCCUACUACCACUUGGAUUCAAGGUACCAAUAUCAUUUCCUACUGCCUUAAUUUAGGUUAACUUUCAACUGGUGUUACAAUACAUACACUUGUUAGUGUACAUUUGUUUAUUCUUAAGUCUAGUAUCUACCACGUGCCAUGUACCAGCAGAGAAGCAGAGAUUACAGACAUAACAAAAGUCUGGUCACUGCUCCUGUGGAACUCUUUCUAGCAAAGUUGGGAAGCCAAAAUAGGAGACACUAUAUUAGUACCACUACGAAAAACAUUUCUUCAAGGUGCACAAAGGACCUCUAAAAAACAAAAUACCCUUAACAGUGUGGGAAAUGUUGUCAAGUUCUGAACGAUUAUGACUUCAGAAAGGAAAGAUCAUUGCUCUUCAAAUGACAUGAAUGCUAAUCAUGAAGGCAACUCUGCAGAUGGAGGCAGUGAGUGAUAGUACAAAAGCAGACAGAGUAGGAUAGGGAAAGGUGCCCAAACACACAGCAUGCUUAGUGUGUGAGGAUACUCAGUCAGCUUAAGAAAAUGGUCCAAAAUGUGCCAGCUAAUCCUUAAGGUUGCCCCCUAAAACUGGACUAAAGAGUCAGCUCUCCAUGGUUGAGACUUUAUUGAGAGUUUUUGUUGUUGCUGUUUUACUGUUCCUCAAGGUUGUGUUGUGUCCCAUAAGCUAAACCUCAAUCAAAUAAUCAAUCAGCUAUCCAUAAGGAAUACUGCUUUGUUCUCUAUUGUAAUUCUGGUUUUUUUUAAGAUUUUAUUUAUUUAUUUGAAAGUCAGAGUUACCCAGAGAGAGGAGAGGGAGGGAGGGGGAGAGAGAGAGAGAGAGAGAGAGAGAGAGAGAGAGAGAGAAAGGUCUUCCAUCUGCUGGUUCACUCCCCAGUUGGCCACAACAGCCAGAGCUGUGCAGAUCUGAAGCCAGGGACCAG